rnacentral:rRNA from 1 species
CAGCCGCCGCGGGAAUACGGAGGGUGCAAGCGUUAAUCGGAAUUACUGGGCGUAAAGCGCACGCAGGCGGUCUGACAAGUCAGAUGUGAAAUCCCCGGGCUUAACCUGGGAACUGCAUUUGAAACUGUCAGGCUGGAGUCUUGUAGAGGGGGGUGGAAUUCCAGGUGUAGCGGUGAAAUGCGUAGAGAUCUGGAGGAAUACCGGUGGCGAAGGCGGCCCCCUGGACAAAGACUGACGCUCAGGUGCGAAAGCGUGGGGAGCAAACAGGAUUAGAUACCCCUGUAGUCCCUGUCUCUUAUAA